AUUCAAGGGAAAAAAUGUGUGUUCUUCAUUGAAACCUAUUCAACAACAACAACAAUAAAGUUUAGUGUCAAAUCCAGUGGUGCCGAGUUUGAUGUUUUUUGUUCUGUGACGUAAAGGAGACUAUCUUCAGGACUGCCCAGAGGUGUCCCCUCACCAUUAGAAAAGGUCCUGGGACCAUUUAGAACUGGGCCUGACUUUGCUCAGACAUUAACUGUGCAAUACACUUGUUUUGCUCGGUCUGCAUGGUGCCCUCUGGAACAUUUGGUGCGCAGUGGACUUUGGGCAGAGGCUUAGCGGAAGAGGAGCAGAGGAAGAGGAGAGGCCAGUCCACUACGUAAGGUGGCCUGCUUGCAGACCGAGAGUGGCAAGAGAAAAGUGUGCACCUUUGAGAAGUGCAAGGGAGUCAUUUGGAGAGCUGAUAUGCCUUACUGGAUUUCGCAACUCAUCGUGGAGAAUUAUAUUCAAAGGAAUCUGUCGUUCUGAAUGUUAACUGACUAGAACAGCAGUGUUGAUGGUCCUUAAUCCAAAUUUGAGGAGCUCAGAACCCCCUGAAGUUUGCCAAGUCUACAAAGAAUGCAAGCCAAGGUUCUUUCUCCAGAGACGGUGUUUGGUGUUUCUGAGGCAGGAGCUACAGUGGCAGUCGAGGUGGACGACAGCAUGCCUGCUGAGUGCUGGCCCCUGGAGGAAAGGCCAGGGCUGGGGCCUCCCAUCGAUCACCUACAGGACCGCCCUCCCUGGGCCCUAACCUGGGCCGUCUGCAGGACAAGGGACACAAGCACACUCCAUGCCAUUGUCUGGCACCAGCCCAGGCCCCUGGCCGCCAGCCUGGCUCUGAGCCCUGCUCCAGGUCUUAGACAAGCCUUCUGCCUAGUUCCUGAGACCUACUCAUGUUUCAGGCACUGAAAAAGACUCCUGUGAACUCAGGGGACUCUAUGGUCCAGUAGGGGGGCCACCAGACAUUAAAUAUUCGUACACGUAAUUGUGGCCAGUACUACAAGGAGAAAGUACAGGGAGCUAUGAGGGAGGUUCAGAGCAAGCAGGUAAGGGUGGGGGAAGCCAGGAAAGUCAUAUAUAUCUGAAAAGGUUUCCUUUAAGGAAAGACGUGAAGGAUCCGGAGUAGUUAGCCGAGUAAAUGGUACAAGGCAAAGCACGUUCACAGACCUCACACUGGCAAAGAGUUUGAAACUUGUGAGGAAUUUUUAAAACCUCAGGGCGGGCAAGCGGGAUCACUGUCCUGUGGUGUGAAGCUGAUAGGGCACUGUCCUCAGCCACACCUGUGGGACGGCUCCCCCUGGGGGGGGGCCUCCUGGGCUGGGACUGCGGUGGGACCCCCGGGAAGUCGAUCGGUGAGCUAGCUGCAAAUGGUCUCCCAGUAGUAGAGCUCUCACAAACGGCUGGAAAUCUGCUUUUCUUCCAAGAUUCACACCAUGCUUUUUAUUAACUGACAAAUUGCAUCUUUUUGGCUCCUUGUGUAACCAAGCUCAGUUCCUCAUGAGUCUUGUAGACCUAUUACUUCUACUCACUGUCAAGAAGAUUGGUUAUUUCCACCAAGUCAGACAUCGUGGUUUGGUUGGUAUGUUUGAUGAUCAGCC